GUUCUACAACUGCUAUUGCAUUUGUCAUUAUGUUAUGCUUUUUUGCCCUAAUUCUUUUAUGUAUGUACACAGUUUGAGGAAAUGUGCAUUUAUGGUCAGUUCUUUUAAAAGGAUUUAAUGAAUUUAUUACUAUUUUGCAAAAAAUAUACCCAAUGCUUAUAUGGGCAUACAAAUGCUACCCUAUUUUAAAUGUAGGUGGCGUAUGUGUUCGUGUUUUAAUGUAUUCAGAGCCAUUGGGCAAUAAGCAGUCCAGAACAUUGAAAACUCAAGCAGCAGAGAAAUAAACUGGUAGGUGGCAGCAGAAGAAGUUCUUCAGAUUGAUGACUACUGACAAAAUCUGCACAAAAGAGAUAGAGCAUGUCAUACCAAGUGAAGUAAAGGCAGCAGAAAGUGGAAAAAGGAUUGAGAUUUCUAGAUUUGACUUUAAAUGAGGUAGGAGGAAGGAAGAAAGAGAAGGAGAGAAACAUUGAUCAUAUGCAUCCUGACCAGACGACCAAACUUACAACCUGGGUCUGUGCCCUGACCGAGAAUCAGACCUCUGACCUUUCUGUUUAUGGGACAUGGCUCCAACCAACUGAGCCACACUGGCCAGGGUGAGAAAUUAUUAUUUAAAUA